rnacentral:lncRNA from 10 species
AGGCCACCCACGGCUACCCAUGGACCAAUCAGCACAUACUUUCUCUCCUCUGAGGCCCAUAAAAGCCCUGCGCUCAGCCAGAACUAAGCAGAUAUCUGGAUGACCAGCUGCAGAAAGGAGCUACUCAUUCCAGGGCCUCCUCUCUGCUGAGAGCAGCAGACAUCAGGAUGACCAGCUGCAGAGAGGAGCUACCCACUCCAGGGCCUCCUCUUUGAUGAGAGCUGCAGAGACAGUGGGACAACCUGUCUGCAGAGAAAAGGAAUACAACAUGUUUAAGACCACAGAACAUCUGCAUAGGCUGUAAAUUUCGUUGAAUGAUGGAUGCAAAGAUGGAAGACAGAUGGAUAGAGGAAAAGACAGAAUCAGAUACUGGAUGAGUUAGUACUGCUGCCUGUGCUUCAGAGCUGUCUUAUUACCACAAGGCCGGCAAGCAUCAAUGUCCCCACAUCCCCCUCUGCCUCCCCCUGAAAUGUACCGAUUUAUAUGAAAAUUAAGAUUACAAAUUAAAGCCUGGCUAUCCUGGAGUUUUCCAGUUCAUCAGCCAUCCAAUAAAAAUGAUGUCAAGCCUGUAUGCAUAAUUCCCGGAAGAUUACUUUCGUCCUUACAGCUAAGCCCUGUCCCUGAUAUGAAAGAUCUCUAUCCACUUUUAUUGAAAUAAAGAACUAACAUCAUAAUCCCA